AACGUAGGAGGCGAGCGUUAUCCGGAUUUACUGGGCGUAAAGCGCGUGCAGGCGGUUGGGUAAGUUGGAUGUGAAAGCUCCCGGCUUAACUGGGAGAGGUCGUUCAAGACUACCGAACUAGAGGAUGGGAGAGGGAGGUGGAAUUCCGGGUGUAGUGGUGAAAUGCGUAGAUAUCCGGAGGAACACCAGUGGCGAAAGCGGCCUCCUGGCCCGAACCUGACGCUCAGACGCGAAAGCUAGGGGAGCGAACGGG
rnacentral:rRNA from 1 species